rnacentral:rRNA from 1 species
GACGAACGCUGGCGGCGUGCUUAACACAUGCAAGUCGAACGGAAAGGCCCUGCUUUUGUGGGGUGCUCGAGUGGCGAACGGGUGAGUAACACGUGAGUAACCUGCCCUUGACUUUGGGAUAACUUCAGGAAACUGGGGCUAAUACCGGAUAGGAGCUCCCGCUGCAUGGUGGGGGUGGGAAAGUUUCGGCUGUCGGGGAUGGACUCGCGGCUUAUCAGCUUGUUGGUGGGGUAGUGGCUUACCAAGGCUGUGACGGGUAGCCGGCCUGAGAGGGUGACCGGCGACAUUGGGACUGAGAUAGGGCCCAGAGUCCUACGGGAGACAGCGGUGGGGAAUAUUGCACAGUGGGCGGGAGCCUGAUGCAGCGACGCCGCGUGCGGGAUGACGGCCUUCGGGUUGUGAACCGCUUUCGCCUAUGACGAAGCGUGAGUGACGGUAAUGGGUAAAGAAGCACCGGCUAACUACGUG